rnacentral:rRNA from 1 species
GUAGGUGGCAAGCGUUGUCCGGAAUUAUUGGGCGUAAAGCGCGCGCAGGCGGUUCUUUAAGUCUGAUGUGAAAGCCCACGGCUCAACCGUGAAGGGUCAUUGGAAACUGGAGAACUUGAGUACAGAAGAGGAAAGCGGAAUUCCACGUGUAGCGGUGAAAUGCGUAGAGAUGUGGAGGAACACCAGUGGCGAAGGCGGCUUUCUGGUCUGUAACUGACGCUGAGGCGCGAAAGCGUGGGGAGCAAACAGGGAUUAGAUACCCUGGUAGUCCACGCCGUAAACGAUGAGUGCUAAGUGUUAGGGGGUUUCCGCCCCCUUAGUGCUGCAGCUAACGCAUUAAGCACUCCGCCUGGGGAGUACGGCCGCAAGGCUG